UCCAGCGUGAGGGGGCUGCUCCCCAGCUGUGGGGCUGGGUUUCUCAUUGUGGAGGCUUCUCUUGCUGCAGGGAACAGGCUCGAGGGCUCGGGAUCAGUAGGUGUGGCUCCCAGGCUCAGCUGCUCCGUGGCACGUGGGAUCCUCCCGGACGGGGGAUUGAACCCGGGUCCCCCGCACUGGCAGGUGGAUUCUUAGCCACCGGGCCACCAGGGGAGCCCCCGUCUCAUGCCUCUGUCCCCACAAGUGGUACUUGGCAUUGAGGAGAUGCAGCAUGUACCAGCUGGAAAUUCCCAGAAUUCCCCCUUUCUGGGAAAGGAGCUGGUCCAUCUCCAGGCGUGACCACGCUCAUCAUGCCAGUCGGUCUGUUCGCCUAAGUGCUCGAGGCGCCCGGCUGUGUGAGCGGAGGCAGGCCCCGGGCUGCAGAGCGACUCGGCCCUGACAGCUUCCCUCAUCAGACACGAGCUCGGGCACCCUCCCUGGCUGUGGGCAAGUGACCGGGAGACGUGGAGGCCUCGUGGGGCCUGAAGUUUAGACUCCAAAGCCUUCACAGCAGGACCUGAGGUUCCUCUCUGGAUGCACGUGGAGGGGACACACGGACAGGUGUACCCAGCAGGGGGCACAGGGGACGCAGGGGGCCGUUUAAAGGGCUGGAGGGUGAUGUAAGGUUGGGGGGGUGACGAGCCUGAGACACAGGGAGGGCCUUCACCACAGAGCACAGGCAAGUUCUGAGAUGGGUGUAGACCACGGUGCACUCCUAAAAAUGCCGCCAUACGGUCACAUAAAAGCAUGCACUCCCCACCACCCAGAAUAUUAGAAAUUCUGAGCAGCGCCCUUCAGAGUCUGCCCUGGAGUCUGCUCUGCUGAGGAGCAGUGUUAAUCCCUGUUGAUGAUGCUCAAACAGAGGUGAGAAAAUGAUUUCCAACACCGAACCUCAUCCCAUUUCAAUUUAAGGUUCUGCCUCUAAGAGCUGACGUACAAAGAGGAAAACAAAAUCUCUUUUCACUGAUGUGCAUUUUAUAGACUUACCCCACCCUUAACACCACACAGCUCAGAAAGUAAUUAAGGAAGCCAUUUAGGGGGAGAAAAGCCGAGUCCAUAUUGAGGCACAGAGAUUUUCUGUUUUGUGUCCAAAAGGUCAUCUGAAAGGACUCAGGUUUCCAUGGUAACACUGGCAAGCCUGAUCAAAUCAACACACAGCUACACUUUGUCGGGGGUCUCCAAUGAACCAUUUUUUUUUCCCCAUCUGAAGAACAUCCUGAAUUAACUAAAGUCUUCAAAGACAAUGGAAGCUUUUGGAAAAUCCAAUUUCAACAACAGUAAACUGAAGAAUGCCUGCUUUCUUUCCACAGACAACCUAGCAACUGAGUCUCAAGUGCAGUGAUUAAAACGUCUUAACUCUCAUCAUAACUGGGUCACAUUUUGUUAAUCAGUAACAAGGAUAAUCUCAAAAUGUUUCCCCAGGAUAAAUAACAGCCGACACACCUGUGAUCCUCAGGCAUCUGCAGUCUUUGGGGUGAUCCUGCAAGUGGUGUGUGGACCUCUACUACAGACCCGCAGAGCACCCUCCAGGCCCCGUCCUCUGCACUCGAGGGCAUCCAGGCCCUGCCCGCAGUGAUCAGUGAUCCAAAUGUCAGUGAUCAGUGGUACCAUAAAGAAGGCUGAACCCAGGAGAAUUGAUGCUUUUGAACUGUGUUGUUGGAGAACACUCUUGAGAGUCCCUUGGACUGCAAGGAGAUCAAACCAGUCAGUCCUAAAGGAGAUCAACCCUGAAUAUUCAUUGGAAGGACUGAUGCUGAAGCUGAAACUCCAAUAUUUUGGCCACCUGAUAUGAAGAGCUGACUCACUGGAAAAGGCCCUGAUGCUGGGAAAGACUGAGGGCGGGAGGAGAAGGGGACAACAGAGGAUGAGAUGGUUGGAUGGCAUCACCGACUCAAUGGACAUGAGUUUGCGUAAACUCCGGGAGAGAGUGGAGGACAAGGAGGCCUGGCGCACUGCAGUCCACGGGGUUGCAAAGAGUCGGACACGACUGAGCGACUGAACAACAACAACAUCAGUGACAAAGCACUGUGAACGUUUUUGUUUUACAUCCUUCGGAACCCACUCUAACUGGCAGGUAUGCCCUGUGCGCUCCUUUGGGACGGGACAUAUUUGGGAGAAGAAACAAGCCCGGGAGGAGGGACCCAAGGCACCGACCGUGCAGGGCGUCUGCCCGCGUGUGUGCACACCUGAACUUCUUCAGGGCUUGGGAGCUGCCCGAGGAAGGGGAAGCUUCACAAGGUAAUGGAUCAGGUGAUUGAAGAAAUGGCAAGAGAUGGCAAGCUGUGACAUGGAGCGUAAGGCAGGUGCGUGGAGCAGAAACUGCAUUAAGAGCUGAGAUGUCAGAGAUCUGCAGAGAAAAGGAAGAUGCUGGCCCGACAGUCACACCUGAGGACUCUGCCACCUGGAGAAGCCUAGGACCUGCCCUUCUCCCCACUGAUGCCAGACCGACUCCUAGCAGGAAGCAACCCCCCACUGCUGCCAGACCGACUCCUAGCAGGAAGCAACCCCCCACUGCAAAGCUGUUUCUGAUAUCCAAGGAUAACAGCCCGAGUGUCAACAGCCUGCAAAGCAAGGUGAUGAUGCAACAUUUAUGCCUUUAGAUAAGGACAAAGAUUAACAUUUAAAUGACCUUUGCCUUCCAGCCCAGUGACCACAAAAAUCUGGCCCUUCCUGGAGUGAAACUUUCUGAACAGAAGGGUGGUUCACUCACG